AACCCAGUACUAACAUAUUAAGGCAGUGAGACCCAUCUCUGUGUCUGUCACACUCUCGGCACCCUGCAAAAUCAGGCCCCAGACACCCUCACCUCAUCCACAGCUUAUAUCUUAAACCAUUCACCACAUUUCACUUUCGAACCUGUUUUAAUUAUCCUGAUUCCUGAAUCCUGAGCUUGACCUCUGUUUAUGACCUGCUAUCACCUCUUAGACCUUCAAAUGUUCAGACUUCUGGCUAUCUUAUUUGAAUUUUCAUUUUUCCCAUCUGAUUAAAUACUUUCUCUUUCUUGGCAUAUUUCUUACCCCAUACCCUAGGUUCUCAGGUCAGAGACUAUGAAGGAUUUGCUAUAUAAAGAAUAAUAACUUCACCGGGCCACCUCACUUUCAUAAAAGCCUGUGAUGCUCACAGACCGUCAAGCAGUAAUGUGCUGGGUGUUCUAGUCUUAAAGAAGGUGUAAGAGACAUAUACGUCUCUGGCCAGAGACUGUCAAAGAGAGGCAAACACUGAUUCUCAGAGCCUCAAAUAAGUGAUGAAUCAAGUAGAAAGAAAUUGGGAGGACACAAAAAAGAGCUUGUUGGGGGCCACAGGCAGCUAAUGCAGCCAGUGACAGCAGAGAGGAAAUGCAGCAUAACCUCCAACUCCAGGAUCUAGGGUCUAAAGGCCAAAGCCACUCCCUGUAAUCAUGCAGAACUGGCCCAGCUUCUCAGUAAGAGGGUUGCUGGGUCCUUCAGACUCGCCCCUGCUUCCCCCUGCCCCACCCUCACAUCCUGGGACUGCACCGCACUUCCACUACUCUGAACCCUCCUGCCCUCUCAGAGUCUCGAACUGCUGCUUCUGAGCUCCAUGUAGCUGGUGAAAGGAGGCUGCCUUGGGCUCUGUGGGGGCCUCCUGUCUUCACUGAUGAUUCUCUGCAGCUCAGCUCCUCUCCCCAUGUAACUGAUCCCAGUCCUCUGGUUCUGUCAGUGCCUCUGCUGUGUACAUUAUGACAUGUGUGAGCUCCCAGCUAGGUGGGAACCCUGAGUGAGGUGUGAGCUUCCUCCCAAGCCAUUGAAGUUGGCUUUCUGCAGUAAGCCAGACACUUGGGUGCUGCUGGUCUUAGAAACUGUUUUCACUACAUGGUCAGG
rnacentral:lncRNA from 1 species